GUGGGGAAUUUUGGACAAUGGGCGCAAGCCUGAUCCAGCAAUGCCGCGUGCAGGAAGAAGGCCUUCGGGUUGUAAACUGCUUUUGUACGGAACGAAACGGUACUGGUUAAUACCUGGGGCUAAUGACGGUACCGUAAGAAUAAGCACCGGCUAACUACGUGCCAGCAGCCGCGGUAAUACGUAGGGUGCGAGCGUUAAUCGGAAUUACUGGGCGUAAAGCGUGCGCAGGCGGUGCUGUAAGACAGGCGUGAAAUCCCCGGGCUCAACCUGGGAAUUGCGCUUGUGACUGCAGUGCUGGAGUACGGCAGAGGGGGAUGGAAUUCCGCGUGUAGCAGUGAAAUGCGUAGAUAUGCGGAGGAACACCGAUGGCGAAGGCAGUCCCCUGGGCCUGUACUGACGCUCAUGCACGAAAGCGUGGGGAGCAAACAGGAUUAGAUACCCUUGUAGUCC
rnacentral:rRNA from 1 species